rnacentral:rRNA from 1 species
UGGGGAAUAUUGCACAAUGGGCGCAAGCCUGAUGCAGCCAUGCCGCGUGUGUGAAGAAGGCUUUCGGGUUGUAAAGCACUUUCAGCGGGGAGGAAGGCGGUGAGGUUAAUAACCUCAUCGAUUGACGUUACCCGCAGAAGAAGCACCGGCUAACUCCGUGCCAGCAGCCGCGGUAAUACGGAGGGUGCAAGCGUUAAUCGGAAUUACUGGGCGUAAAGCGCACGCAGGCGGUCUGUCAAGUCGGAUGUGAAAUCCCCGGGCUCAACCUGGGGACUGCAUUCGGAACUGGCAGGCUAGGGUCUUGUAGAGGGGGGUAGAAUUCCCGGUGUAGCGGUGAAAUGCGUAGAAAUCUGGAGGAAUACCGGUGGCGAAGGCGGCCCCCUGGACAAAGACUGACGCUCAGGUGCGAAAGCGUGGGGAGCAAACAAG